AUGUACCUUGCUCAUUUCUACAGUGGUCCUGGCAACGUGCUACAAGCACUGCAAGAGGGAUGCAAGCCCCAAAUGAAGAAACAAGCUCCCCAUCCCUGACAUCUCUCCAUCUCUGACUUUUCCUUUCAAACUUGGUCCAUCAUGCACAGAUGUGCUUUAUUGAGAUCCAUUAGUGCUUGUAGCACAGGUUUGGUUUACAGGGGGUAUGCUUCCGACUCAAGGAAACUCAGAGACUACUGCUUUAUAUGAUCCCUUUGCUCCAAGCAGCAAGAACUCAGCGGAAGCCCUGAGCUAUUGCUUCUGCUGGGACAAGAUACCAUCACUCAGUGGACUGGGAGAUACCACGCCUUUGUGCAAAGCAGCGGCUUUUACAGAGUUGAGAUAAAUGAUAACUUGCUGUGGUGUGAGACAGCCUGCUCUGCGGUGGUUGUACAAACUCAACAAAAGCUGGGAACAGCUCCAGUGAGAUCGCACCCUGAUGAAUCUGUGUAGCACUGAUUAGAAGGUAGCAUGGUGAGAUUUUAAUCAGAAUGGGGUGGCAGAAAAACAAGUUCUCAGCCUGUUGCUAAAGGGAAAGAGGUUAAGAAAAAUCUUACAGUUGCUAGGGCAGAGUGGAGUCUUUGGGAAAUAACACAUGAAACAAUUUCCUGCCCCAUCCUCUUCUCAAGCCUUUGCUUUUGAGGGUGGAGGCAAGGAACUGCAGCAGGAGAGCUGCACUGGGAGUUUCACACUGGAGUGUGAGGGGUGACUGCUCCUGAUAAAAGUAUCAAACAGGGCAUCUUUGAAUGCUGGAUGGGUUUGGGAGGUAUCUACCAAGAUUAGGGUAUCUCCACAGUUGUCCUCCAGCUGAGCAACUUCAUGCUCCAUACCAACAGGUUGGCCUGCGGUAUGGCAGGGACCUGGAGAGGGAAGAUGGAUUGUUUCAAAUCUCUCUAGAAGAGGAGGAUGUGGGGAGGACAAGAAAUAAAUUAGUCUUGUACCAUACAUACAUGAAAGGCACAAAAAUGCCUAUAGUUUACAAUAUAGAGAUCCAUAGAGCCUGGGGACUGAACAUACCUGGCUGAUGCUACUUUCAGCAUAGCCCUGAUGAUAUUCUUUAGGAACUGGACAAUUCUGCAAAGAUUUUGUGAGGAGCCAGGGUAUUUUGGUUUAAUUCCAAGAAAAUCUAAUUGUGUUGGUCUGCCGUGCAUCAUUUGUUCUUGUUCUUUUUGCCUGUCUUAAUGUGUGAUAGGGAACAUUCCUCUUCAUGCUGUCUAGUUGUAUUCAUGAUAGAGAAGGAAAGGAAGGAUAUGAUAGACGUAAGCAAAAAUUUUCAUUUAGGGACUGUGUAUUCAUCCUAUCUGUGGUAAACACAUGUCUUUUACAUGUCUUUCAUUCAUCUUUAGGCGAUUUUAUUAACAUCCUUUAACCUCUCACUACAACAAAAUCAGACCUGAUUAGGACAACUUAAUCCCACACAUGCAUUCUCUCAGUCUAUGGGACAGCUGGAUUCAAACUAGCCCUGAAAGAUAAAUAGAGCUUCUGUAUACCCUACCAAGUGCUAUCCACCUCACUUUCCUGCAGUGACAGUCAGUAGAAGGCAAUAAUACAGCUUACAAUGGUGUAUGUGUCCCGCUAUCAUAAACAUCCAUAAACAUCAUGACCUGCUGUGGGCCAUGACCUGACAUGCUUACAGGAAGCUAUUAGGAAAAGAACUUCUGUAAAGAGAGCAUAUUUCAGCUGAGAACCCCUGUGAGGGAAAAUGGAUGCACUGGACUCGGUCCCUGAAAGUCAGCCUAGCUGUGCCCUAGCAGAGCCAAGUGCCAGACUUUUCCUGGCAGCCUCUCAGCCAUGUGGAAGACAGUAAGGUUGUUCUAUCUAACCUUGUUUAUGGUCCACUGGGACACUGUUUGCUGAUGGGAUAUCUUCUGUCAGUAAAGCUCUGUUUGCUUUGCCUCAUGGCAGUGUCCAUGCACUAUGUUGUCACAAGCCAUGAGGCAGUGGGAUCGCAGUACAUGUUCACUGCAUUUUACCUUUCGUCAGUAAGGAAAGGAUCUGACUAUAUGCCAAAAGGCACAAAGCAAUCAGAUAAUCACAGAAACACCAGAUGCUCACAUAAGCCAUGCUAUUCUGAUGCCACCAGUACUGUGGACUUCCUUAUUCUCAGCUAUGCAAUUUCAGCCUCAACCCUGGUAUCUGGACAACUUGCCCUUAAAUAGGCACAGCCUUCUACCCACAGCUGUGUCAUUUGUUCAGCCCUUGAUUGCUGCUACUAUUUCAAGGAAAUAGGAAUUCACUCAGAUGUAAGCCAACUCUAUUCUAACUGUUUCAGUAAAAUCAGUACAACAAAA